rnacentral:rRNA from 1 species
AUUGAACGCUGGCGGCAGGCCUAACACAUGCAAGUCGAGCGGGGUUUUCGGACCUAGCGGCGGACGGGUGAGUAAUGCGUAGGAAGCUACCCGAUAGAGGGGGAUACCAGUUGGAAACGACUGUUAAUACCGCAUAAUGUCUACGGACCAAAGUGUGGGACCUUCGGGCCACAUGCUAUCGGAUGCGCCUACGUGGGAUUAGCUAGUUGGUGAGGUAAUGGCUCACCAAGGCGACGAUCCCUAGCUGGUUUGAGAGGAUGAUCAGCCACACUGGAACUGAGACACGGUCCAGACUCCUACGGGAGGAAGCAGUGGGAAUAUUGGACAAUGGGCGCAAGCCUGAUCCAGCCAUGCCGCGUGUGUGAAGAAGGCCUUCGGGUUGUAAAGCACUUUCAGUAGGGAGGAAGCGUUGUGUGUUAAUAGUACACAGCGUUGACGUUACCUACAGAAGAAGCACCGGCUAACUCUGUGCCAGCCGCCGCAGUAACAC